GACGAACGCUGGCGGCGUGCUUAACACAUGCAAGUCGAACGGAAAGGCCCUGCUUUUGUGGGGUGCUCGAGUGGCGAACGGGUGAGUAACACGUGAGUAACCUGCCCUUGACUUCGGGAUAACUUCAGGAAACUGGGGCUAAUACCUGAUAGGAGCUCCUGCUGCAUGGUGGGGGUUGGAAAGUUUCGGCGGUUGGGGUUGGACUCGCGGCUUAUCAGCUUGUUGGUGGGGUAGUGGCUUACCAAGGCUUUGACGGGUAGCCGGCCUGAGAGGGUGACCGGCCAAAUUGGGACUGAGAUACGGCCCAGACUCCUACGGGAGGCAGCAGUGGGGAAUAUUGCACAAUGGGCGGAAGCCUGAUGCAGCAACGCCGCGUGCGGGAUGACGGCCUUCGGGUUGUAAACCGCUUUCGCCUGUGACGAAGCGUGAGUGACGGUAAUGGGUAAAGAAGCACCGGCUAACUACGUG
rnacentral:rRNA from 1 species